AGCGAAUGGACCAGAGCUUGCUCUUAUGAAGUUAGCGGCGGACGGGUGAGUAACACGUGGGUAACCUGCCCAUAAGACUGGGAUAACUCCGGGAAACCGGGGCUAAUACCGGAUAACAUUUUGCACUGCAUGGUGCGAAAUUGAAAGGCGGCUUCGGCUGUCACUUAUGGAUGGACCCGCGUCGCAUUAGCUAGUUGGUGAGGUAACGGCUCACCAAGGCAACGAUGCGUAGCCGACCUGAGAGGGUGAUCGGCCACACUGGGACUGAGACACGGCCCAGACUCCUACGGGAGGCAGCAGUAGGGAAUCUUCCGCAAUGGACGAAAGUCUGACGGAGCAACGCCGCGUGAGUGAUGAAGGCUUUCGGGUCGUAAAACUCUGUUGUUAGGGAAGAACAAGUGCUAGUUGAAUAAGCUGGCACCUUGACGGUACCUAACCAGAAAGCCACGGCUAACUACGUGCCAGCAGCCGCGGUAAUACGUAGGUGGCAAGCGUUAUCCGGAAUUAUUGGGCGUAAAGCGCGCGCAGGUGGUUUCUUAAGUCUGAUGUGAAAGCCCACGGCUCAACCGUGGAGGGUCAUUGGAAACUGGGAGACUUGAGUGCAGAAGAGGAAAGUGGAAUUCCAUGUGUAGCGGUGAAAUGCGUAGAGAUAUGGAGGAACACCAGUGGC
rnacentral:rRNA from 1 species